AGCCUCAAAAUAUCUUUCCACAAAAGAUGAAUUUGACAAAAUUGCUCUCUUGAGAAUCGACAAAGAUCACAGUGUACAGUACUUUUGAAUGCAAGAAUUCAGCAGAUUUAAAAGAUACUUUGGCAAGGGAAACUUGAAAUCCCUGGAAACUUUGAAAGGAUGGAUGUUGUCUGAGAGCUGGCAUAAAAAGCUUUUGCUGGUUCUGUCAAUAGACUUCAGUGCUCUUCCACCACGUGAAGAAUUUGUUCCCCCUCUGAUGGAUUUUUCAAACCAUGUCUCCUCUUGUGUUUGUAAGAGAAGAUGACAGGGCAUAGGAGCAUCUCAGACGUCCCCGCGGUGCUCAGGAGUUGGGGGGCAGCAGAAGCAGUAGCAAGACUUGCUCCGUGGGAAAAGCUGUCUCAGAUUUCAGAGGAAGUUCAUGUAGAGUGGCACAAACACAAACGGUUCUUAUAGCAACUUUGGGAUUCAGAGUUCAGUCUGGGAAUUAUGCUUGAUUACCAUUUUUAAAUAUUAUCGUUCAUCCUUACAGCUUUUAUUCUUCUCUCUUCCUUCUUGUGCUGCCAUAAGUACACCAGAGUGUGCCUGGACAAGAGUGUUGUUAAAGAAUAGUGAGCACCUGGCAGGAUCCUGCCUAAGGAGUGUAAUGGGAUGGCUGAAACUUUGGAAAAUAAAUUAAACCUGGUCUUUCCCAAAGGGAAGUUAGAAAGUCCUGUAGUGGUAGUUAAAAUGAGAAAGACAAAAGUAGCAACAACAAAAGAGGACAGAUGAGAUCCAGAAAAGUAGGUUUCGUUACUGAGAGUGAAAGUUUUUACUGUUGAAUCAGCUAGAGGUAGGAAAAAAAAAUGAAAUCCAAACCCCAAAUUUGACCUUGUAAGGGGAACUCUAUGUUGUGGAAGACAAGCCUUAAACUGCAGAGAAGCAACAUGGGAGAGGUCAUCCGGAAUCCCUAGCAGGCACUUCUGCACUUGAGCUUUUUCUAUCACCACUGAUGGGGAAACUGAAGUAGGAGCAGCAUGUAGGCAUUCUGGGUUUUGGUGAUGCUUUGGUUCUUGUGCUGUCUGAAGUGAGGUGUAACUGCUGUCAGAAAAACUUCUGUAAUGUCUCACUUAUUUUCAUCAAAUGAGGGGCAGGGGAGGGUGGCAGAAGGGAGAAGUGUAUUGGGAAGAGAAGCUCUGUUUUAGAAAAUCAGUAAAUCAGUGAAAUCAGUAAAUCGGUGUCAUGGCUUGCUGGAAAUUGGUCAUCCUGUGGGCAUCCCAGCCAGUCCUUAUUGGAGUAAUAUUAUAGACAGUCACGAAAAAGAUGGUGAUUAAAGCUUGACCAGACAAAGGGAAGCUUGAAGUUGCACGUGUCCAAAGGUAACAAUGCAAUUUGUGUUCCUCGGAGGAGUUUUACUGGGUAAAUGCAUUAUUAGGUUGGCCUCCUUCUGAAGAUAGAGAGUUUGGAGCUGCUUGCAAAUGGAAGUACCCCAUCUAGCUCUCACAGGACUUUGGGA